AAGACCUUCUUAUGAAGGUAUGCUUAAAGAGGGGCUUGCGCCACAUUAGUUAGUUGGUAGGGUAAAAGCCUACCAAGACGAUGAUGUGUAGCUGGACUGAGAGGUUGAACAGCCACAUUGGGACUGAGACACGGCCCAAACUCCUACGGGAGGCAGCAGUAGGGAAUUUUCGGCAAUGGAGGAAACUCUGACCGAGCAACGCCGCGUGAACGAUGAAGUAUUUCGGUAUGUAAAGUUCUUUUAUUGAAGAAGAAAAAGUAGUGGAAAAACUAUAUUGACGUUAUUCAAUGAAUAAGCCCCGGCUAACUAUGUGCCAGCAGCCGCGGUAAGACAUAGGGGGCGAGCGUUAUCCGGAAUUAUUGGGCGUAAAGGGUGCGUAGGCUGUUAGAUAAGUCUAUAAUUUAAUUUCAGUGCUUAACGCUGUCUUGUUAUAGAAACUGUCUUGACUAGAGUGAGAUAGAGGCAAGCGGAAUUCCAUGUGUAGCGGUAAAAUGUGUAAAUAUAUGGAGGAACACCAGAAGCGUAGGCGGCUUGCUGGGUCUUUACUGACGCUGAGGCACGAAAGCGUGGGUAGCAAACAGGAUUAGAUACCCUGGUAGUCCACGCCGUAAACGAUGAGUACUAAGUGUCGGGGUAAAACUCGGUACUGAAGUUAACACAUUAAGUACUCCGCCUGAGUAGUACGUACGCAAGUAUGAAACUUAAAGGAAUUGACGGGACUCCGCACAAGCGGUGGAUCAUGUUGUUUAAUUCGAAGAUACACGAAAAAUCUUACCAGGUCUUGACAUACUCUGCAAAGCUAUAGAAAUAUAGUGGAGGUUAUCAGGGAUACAGGUGGUGCAUGGUUGUCGUCAGUUCGUGUCGUGAGAUGUUAGGUUAAGUCCUAAAACGAGCGCAACCCUUGUCGUUAAUUGCCAGCACGUAAUGGUGGGGACUUUAGCGAGACUGCCAAUUAAACAUUGGAGGAAGGUGAGGAUUACGUCAAAUCAUCAUGCCCCUUAUGAUCUGGGCUACAAACGUGAUACAAUGGCUGUGACAAAGAGUAGCUGAAACGCGAGUUUUUAGCCAAUCUCAAAAAAGCAGUCUCAGUUCGGAUUGAAGUCUGUAACUCGACUUCAUGAAGUUGGAAUCGCUAGUAAUCGCGAAUCAGCAUGUCGCGGUGAAUACGUUCUCGGGGUUUGUACACACCGCCCGUCAAACCACGAAAGUUAGCAA
rnacentral:rRNA from 1 species